GGCUCUGUGGCCCAAUGGAUAGGGCGUUGGACUUCGGAUCCAAAGGCUGGGAGUUCGAGUCUCUCCAGAGUCG